rnacentral:rRNA from 1 species
AUUGAACGCUGGCGGCAGGCUUAACACAUGCAAGUCGAGCGGAGAGAGGUAGCUUGCUACUGAUCUUAGCGGCGGACGGGUGAGUAAUGCUUAGGAAUCUGCCUAUUAGUGGGGGACAACAUUUCGAAAGGAAUGCUAAUACCGCAUACGUCCUACGGGAGAAAGCAGGGGAUCUUCGGACCUUGCGCUAAUAGAUGAGCCUAAGUCGGAUUAGCUAGUUGGUGGGGUAAAGGCCUACCAAGGCGACGAUCUGUAGCGGGUCUGAGAGGAUGAUCCGCCACACUGGGACUGAGACACGGCCCAGACUCCUACGGGAGGCAGCAGUGGGGAAUAUUGGACAAUGGGCGGAAGCCUGAUCCAGCCAUGCCGCGUGUGUGAAGAAGGCCUUAUGGUUGUAAAGCACUUUAAGCGAGGAGGAGGCUACUUUAGUUAAUACCUAGAGAUAGUGGACGUUACUCGCAGAAUAAGCACCGGCUAACUCUGUGCCAGCAGCCGCGUAA